GAUGAACGCUAGCGGCAGGCUUAAUACAUGCAAGUCGAGGGGCAGCAUGAUUGUAGCAAUACAAUUGAUGGCGACCGGCAAACGGGUGCGGAACACGUACACAACCUUCCAACAAGUGGGGGAUAGCCCAGAGAAAUUUGGAUUAAUACCCCGUAACAUAGCGAUGCGGCAUCACAUUGCUAUUAUAGAUUUUUCGCUUGUUGAUGGGUGUGCGGCUGAUUAGAUAGUUGGCGGGGUAACGGCCCACCAAGUCUACGAUCAGUAGCUGAUGUGAGAGCAUAAUCAGCCACACGGGGACUGAGACACGGGCCCGACUCCUACGGGAGGCAGCAGUAAGGAAUAUUGGACAAUGGACGCAAGUCUGAUCCAGCCAUGCCGCGUGAAGGAUUAAGGUCCUCUGGAUUGUAAACUUCUUUUAUAAGGGACGAAAAAAGGCUUUUCUAAGUCGUCUGACGGUACCUUAUGAAUAAGCACCGGCUAACUCCGUGCCAGCAGCCGCAGUAACAC
rnacentral:rRNA from 1 species